UAAGUAGGGCGGGACACGUGAAAUCCUGUUUGAAGAUCGGAGGACCACCUCCGAAGGCUAAGUACUCCUUACUGACCGAUAGCGAACCAGUACCGUGAGGGAAAGGUGAAAAGCACCCCGACGAGGGGAGUGAAACAGUACCUGAAACCGAACGCCUACAAUCAGUCGGAGCCCCCUUGCGGGGUGACGGCGUACCUUUUGUAUAAUGGGUCAGCGACUUACAUUCAGUGGCGAGGUUAACCGAAUAGGGAAGCCGUAGAGAAAUCGAGUCCGAAUAGGGCGAAUAGUCGCUGGGUGUAGACCCGAAACCAAGUGAUCUAUCCAUGGCCAGGAUGAAGGUACCGUAACAGGUGCUGGAGGUCCGAACCGACUAGUGUUGCAAAACUAGCGGAUGAGCUGUGGAUAGGGGUGAAAGGCUAAACAAACUUGGAAAUAGCUGGUUCUCUCCGAAAACUAUUUAGGUAGUGCCUCAAGUAUUACCUGCGGGGGUAGAGCACUGUUUAGGCUAGGGGGUCAUGGCGACUUACCAAACCUUAGCAAACUCCGAAUACCGCAGAGUACAGCUUGGGAGACAGAGCACCGGGUGCUAACGUCCGGACUCAAGAGGGAAACAACCCAGACCGCCAGCUAAGGUCCCUAA
rnacentral:rRNA from 1 species